CACGUAGGGCGCAAGCGUUGUCCGGAAUUAUUGGGCGUAAAGAGCUCGUAGGCGGUCUGUUACGUCUGCUGUGAAAACCCGGGGCUUAACCCUGGGCUUGCAGUGGAUACGGGCAGACUAGAGGCAGGUAGGGGAGAAUGGAAUUCCCGGUGUAGCGGUGAAAUGCGCAGAUAUCGGGAGGAACACCGGUGGCGAAGGCGGGUCUCUGGGCAGUAACUGACGCUGAGGAGCGAAAGCGUGGGGAGCGAACAGG
rnacentral:rRNA from 1 species